rnacentral:rRNA from 1 species
AGCGAACGCUGGCGGCAGGCUUAACACAUGCAAGUCGAGCGGGCAUCCUUGUGGUGUCAGCGGCAGACGGGUGAGUAACGCGUGGGAACGUGCCCUUCGGUUCGGAAUAACUCAGGGAAACUUGAGCUAAUACCGGAUACGUGCGAGAGCAGAAAGGUUUAUCUGCCGAAGGAUCGGCCCGCGUCUAAUUAGCUAGUUGGUGAGGUUAUGGCUCACCAAGGCGACGAUCAGUAGCUGGUCUGAGAGGAUGAUCAGCCACACUGGGACUGAGACACGGCCCAGACUCCUACGGGAGGCAGCAGUGGGGAAUAUUGGACAAUGGGGGCAACCCUGAUCCAGCCAUGCCGCGUGAGUGAUGACGGCCUUAGGGUUGUAAAGCUCUUUUCUCCGGGACGAUAAUGACGGUACCGGAGGAAUAAGCCCCGGCUAACUUCGUG